rfam:Pteropus alecto contig108945, whole genome shotgun sequence.
GCUAUGAUGAAUUUGAUUGCGUUGAUCAUCUGAAAUGAUGUAGUUUGUCCUCUAAGAAGUUCUGAGCUU